CUCUAUGGGUCAUUGGGGUCUCUAUGGGGUCAAUGCGGUCUCUAUGGGGCACUGCAAUCCCAUACGGGACAUUGGGGGUGACCACGUGACCGCGGCGGCGCAGUGACGUCACUGUCCUGCAGCGGUGCCGCAGGGCGCAUGCGCGGUGUCCCCGGUCCUUUUAGGCUGCGCGGGUCACUGCGAGUCAGGCGCGUUCCCGGCUCGGCGCGCGGUCACGGCGGUCACGUGGCACCGCAUCACUUCCGCCGCGCGGUGCUGCACCAUCGGGAGCGCGCGGAAGCUCUCUGUCUCCAUUUCCUGUCCCGGCGGCCGCACGCUGACCCUGCAGACCAUCACAGCCAAUGGCUGCCGCUGUGACCAGUGCCGGGGGGCGCGGCUGUGAACGGCCUAUGGGGCCCAAUGUAGGGCUGAAUAUGGGGCCGAAUAUAGGGCUGAAUAUGGGGCUGAA